rnacentral:misc_RNA from 1 species
GAAUAUUACGUCAGAUCCGGAUUAAAUUAAACGUCAUCUACCCGGAAGUUACGCAGUCCAAGAACAGCAAAAAAGGACCAAGAGGGCUUUUGAAAAGGAUAUUCAGACUGAGCAGGAAAAACGAAGAACUUGUAGAAAAUGUCUUUGAAUAAUGGACGCAGGCUUUGUGUACAUGUGUCUGCGAUUCAUCAGUUGUACGUGGAUAACAUUGCCAGUUUAUCAUCGCGAUUUCUGAAUGGCCGAUGCAUGACAUUCUCAACUCUUCUGUUAAGAAGAGCGCAUUUGCUCCAUUUGAUGAUUCUGUUGAACAAUAUUGUUAUGGACAUGAAUGUUAAUGCAGAUACAUUUCUUUCAUAAACAUUUAAAAUACAUACACUUAUGUACAUUACUACUUGUAUUCCAUAAACUUAUUUAUGAAAUACACAUGUACCGCGCAUCCGGUGAACUCAUAAAAAUGACGUCAUAAUUGACCUUAAUCCAUUAUCAUAUUGUCAUUAUGUCAUCAAGAGAGUCAAUUAUCAAAAUGCCAUUCAUAUACUACCGUGUGAAUAUCAUUCCAAUCCUGUAACAUAUUCUAUCCAUCAACAGUUUGACAAUCAUGCUCUUUGUGAUAUUCAAUGUUUACUGCAAUAAAUAUAUUUUA